rnacentral:misc_RNA from 1 species
GAUGAAGAACGCAGCGAAAUGCGAUACGUAAUGUGAAUUGCAGAAUUCAGUGAAUCAUCGAAUCUUUGAACGCACAUUGCGCCUGCCAGCACUCUGGCAGGCAUGCCUGUUCGAGCGUCAUUUCAACCAUCAAGCCCUAGGCUUGCGUUGGAGCCCUGCGGCUGCCGCAGGCCCCUAAAAGCAGUGGCGGGCUCGCUAUCACACCGAGUGCAGUAGAUUACUCUUCGCUCAGGGCGUGUGCCGGGUUCCAGCCGUGAAACCCCCUACUUCUCAAGGUUGACCUCGGAUCAGGUAGGAAUACCCGCUGAACUUAAGCAUAUCAAUAAGCGGAGGA